UUUGGGAAGUGGUGCCAACGACUCAAACAGCUAGCUCUGCUGAAUCGAUUAUUUAUCUGCACCUCAGUCUGAUCCCAAA